rnacentral:rRNA from 1 species
UACAGAGGGUGCGAGCGUUGUCCGGAAUCACUGGGCGUAAAGGGCGCGUAGGCGGUGACUUAAGCGUGUGGUGAAAGCUCGGGGCUCAACCCCGAGUCGGCCGUGCGAACUGGGUCACUUGAGCGUAUCAGAGGCAGGCGGAAUUCCGGGUGUAGCGGUGGAAUGCGUAGAGAUCCGGAAGAACACCGGUGGCGAAGGCGGCCUGCUGGGAUACUUGCUGACGCUGAGGCGCGACAGCGUGGGGAGCAAA